GAUGAACGCUGGCGGCGUGCCUAAUACAUGCAAGUCGAGCGAACAGACGAGGAGCUUGCUCCUCUGACGUUAGCGGCGGACGGGUGAGUAACACGUGGAUAACCUACCUAUAAGACUGGGAUAACUUCGGGAAACCGGAGCUAAUACCGGAUAAUAUGUUGAAUCGCAUGGUUCAACAGUGAAAGACGGUCUUGCUGUCACUUAUAGAUGGAUCCGCGCCGCAUUAGCUAGUUGGUAAGGUAACGGCUUACCAAGGCAACGAUGCGUAGCCGACCUGAGAGGGUGAUCGGCCACACUGGAACUGAGACACGGUCCAGACGCCUACGGGAGGCAGCAGUAGGGAAUCUUCCGCAAUGGGCGAAAGCCUGACGGAGCAACGCCGCGUGAGUGAAGAAGGUCUUCGGAUCGUAAAACUCUGUUAUUAGGGAAGAACAAAUGUGUAAGUAACUAUGCACGUCUUGACGGUACCUAAUCAGAAAGCCACGGCUAACUACGUG
rnacentral:rRNA from 1 species